AUGUGACAACCCGAAGUUUCAAGGUCAGUGUCUUCGAUUCCGUUCUUGUUUUAAAUCUAUUUAUUCAACCCGUGACCCUGUUUAGCGUGCUAGUAUAUGUUUGGUAGUUGUGUGGUGCGUGUGUGUGUAACGGGCCAAUCUCUAGGUUGUGCUUACAACUCGGUCGUAGCGUAUAAUUGGUCCGCAAUGUGAAUUUUGACUUAGAAACCCGUUGACAUAAGUGAUCGGACUUGGCCCAAUCUUGGCGAGUAGCAUCAAUAAACAACCGGCCCAAAAUGACUGUUUUGGGUCAGCAAGUAUAAUCGGCCCAAGCUAUUGUCUUGAUUUGCAAAAACAAUCGGCCCAAAACACCAAUUGUUUAGCAAAUACAAGUGGCCCAGUUCCUUGGCCAUUUAUCUACCUGUGUACGUGAACUAGGGUGAUCGCAAACCCUACUUCUUCUUCCUGGAAUUGUGAACGGCAGUAGAGCACCCCCCCCCUUGUCGUGACCGGGUCAUCAUUGUUAGAUUCUCCAUACUAUCUUGAGGAUAAUGGUCUGAUGAGUAUGAUGGGAGUAUUUGAUCCACUGUAAAUCAACUAUACACAAGUAACGUAACCUACCGAGCACUCUAAGGUCGUUAGGUACUUGAAAAACAGGAACUUGCUGGCUGGAGGGCGAGAGUGGUCAUGGUUGCAUUGAUGGAUUUAUUUAUGAGACAUUUAUUUGCUAUGAUUGUUUGGAUAACAUUUAUUUUAUGAUACAUUAACGCUUUCGCUGA
rnacentral:lncRNA from 1 species